rnacentral:rRNA from 1 species
AGAGUUUGAUCCUGGCUCAGGACGAACGCUGGCGGCGUGCCUAACACAUGCAAGUCGAGCGGGGAACGGACGGUAGCUUGCUACCGUUUGUUUCUAGCGGCGGACGGGUGAGUAACGCGUGAGCAACCUGCCUUUAUCAGGGGGAUAACGCAUCGAAAGAUGUGCUAAUACCGCGUAAGACCACAGCUUCACAUGGAGCGGGGGUCAAAGGAGCAAUCCGGAUAAAGAUGGGCUCGCGUCCGAUUAGCUAGUUGGUGAGAUAACAGCCCACCAAGGCGACGAUCGGUAGCCGACCUGAGAGGGUGAUCGGCCACAUUGGAACUGAGAGACGGUCCAGACUCCUACGGGAGGCAGCAGUGGGGAAUAUUGGGCAAUGGGCGAAAGCCUGACCCAGCAACGCCGCGUGAGGGAAGAAGGGUUUCGGCUCGUAAACCUCUGUCCUAUGGGACGAAGGAAGUGACGGUACCAUAGGAGGAAGCCCCGGCUAACUACGUGCCAGCAGCCGCGGUAAUACGUAGGGGGCGAGCGUUGUCCGGAAUGAUUGGGCGUAAAGGGCGCGUAGGCGGCCUGCUAAGUCUGGAGUGAAAGUCCUGCUUUCAAGGUGGGAAUUGCUUUGGAUACUGGUGGGCUGGAGUGCAGGAGAGGAAAGCGGAAUUACCGGUGUAGCGGUGAAAUGCGUAGAGAUCGGUAGGAACACCAGUGGCGAAGGCGGCUUUCUGGACUGAAACUGACGCUGAGGCGCGAAAGCGUGGGGAGCAAACAGGAUUAGAUACCCUGGUAGUCCACGC